GGUGGUUCGCCGCCGGCGACGUCGCGAGAAGUUCACUGAACCUUAUCAUUUAGAGGAAGGAGAAGUCGUAACAAGGUUUCCGUAGGUGAACCUGCGGAAGGAUCAUUGUCGAAACCUGCCUAGCAGAGCGACCAGCGAACAUGUUUAUCAUGCAUGGGGUGGGGGUGAAAACCCUUGUCCCACGUCGGGGAGGCACUCCACCUCGGUGGGGCGCCCUCCUGGCACAAUAACUAACCCCGGCGCGGUAUGCGCCAAGGAACAUGGAUACAAGUGUGCCCUUCCAUGCUUGGUAUACUAGGUAUGGGGGUGGCACCAAGUCGUAUAUAACAUUAAACGACUCUCGGCAACGGAUAUCUCGGCUCUCGCAUCGAUGAAGAACGUAGCGAAAUGCGAUACUUGGUGUGAAUUGCAGAAUCCCGUGAACCAUCGAGUCUUUGAACGCAAGUUGCGCCCAAAACCUUAGGGUCGAGGGCACGCCUGCCUGGGCGUCACGCAUCGCGUCUCCCCCCCACCCACCAAACGUGGGAAGGGCGGAGGAGGAUGGCCUCCCAUGCCUCACCGGGUGUGGAUGGCCUAAAUAAGGAGCCCCUGGUUGCGAGAUGCCGCGGCGAUUGGUGGUAGACGAGGCCUAGCCUAGGAUGCAUCGCGCCGCGCACCACGUAACUCUUGAGGUCUCACAGGACCCUUAGUUGUUUGCCUUUUGGGCUAACAAAACCGUUGCGACCCCAGGUCAGGCGGGGCUACCCGCUGAGUUUAAGCAUAUCAAUAAG
rnacentral:rRNA from 1 species